UGGUUCUCCCCGAAAGCUAUUUAGGUAGCGCCUCGUGAAUUCAUCUCCGGGGGUAGAGCACUGUUUCGGCAAGGGGGUCAUCCCGACUUACCAACCCGAUGCAAACUGCGAAUACCGGAGAAUGUUAUCACGGGAGACACACGGCGGGUGCUAACGUCCGUCGUGAAGAGGGAAACAACCCAGACCGCCAGCUAAGGUCCCAAAGUCAUGGUUAAGUGGGAAACGAUGUGGGAAGGCCCAGACAGCCAGGAUGUUGGCUUAGAAGCAGCCAUCAUUUAAAGAAAGCGUAAUAGCUCACUGGUCGAGUCGGCCUGCGCGGAAGAUGUAACGGGGCUAAACCAUG
rnacentral:rRNA from 1 species